CGCGUAGGCGGUCUUUUAAGUUCCGUGUGAAAUCCCUCGGCUCAACUGGGGAACGGCACGGGAAACUGGGAGGCUUGAGUUCGGGAGAGGGAAGCGGAAUUCCGGGUGUAGCGGUGAAAUGCGUAGAUAUCCGGAGGAACACCGGUGGCGAAGGCGGCUUCCUGGACCGACACUGACGCUGAGGCGCGGAAGCUAGGGGAGCAAACG
rnacentral:rRNA from 1 species